GUGUCAUCUCAGAUGUUGAAGAGAUGUUGGGUUUCCUCAGUGUGUUAGGAGGUGUCAUCUCAGAUGUUGAAGAGGUGUCGGGUUGAGUUUCCUCAGUGUGUUAGGAGGUGUCAUCUCAGAUGUUGAAGAGGGGUUGAGUUUCCUCAGUGUGUUAGGAGGUGUCAUCUCAGAUGUUGAAGAGGUAUUGGGUUUCCUCAGUGUGUUAGGAGGUGUCAUCUCAGAUGUUGAAGAGGGGUUGGGUUUCCUCAGUGUGUUAGGAGGUGUCAUCUCAGAUGUUGAAGAGGUGUCGGGUUGAGUUUCCUCAGUGUGUUAGGAGGUGUCAUCUCAGAUGAUGAAGAUGUGUUGGGUUUCCUCAGUGUGUUAGGAGGUGUCAUCUCAGAUGUUGAAGAGGGGUUGAGUUUCCUCAGUGUGUUAGGAGGUGUCAUCUCAGAUGUUGAAGAGGUGUCGGGUUGAGUUUCCUCAGUGUGUUAGGAGGUGUCAUCUCAGAUGAUGAAGAGGUGUUGGGUUUCCUCAGUGUGUUAGGAGGUGUCAUCUCAGAUGUUGAAGAGGGGUUGAGUUUCCUCAGUGUGUUAGGAGGUGUCAUCUCAGAUGUUGAAGAGGUGUUGGGUUGAGUUUCCGCAGUGUGUUAGGAGGUGUCAUCUCAGAUGUUGAAGAGGUGUCAGGUUGAGUUUCCUCAGUGUGUUAGGAGGUGUCAUCUCAGAUGUUGAAGAGGUGUUGGGUUUCCUCAGUGUGUUAGGAGGUGUCAUCUCAGAUGUUGAAGAGGUGUCAGGUUGAGUUUCCUCAGUGUGUUAGGAGGUGUCAUCUCAGAUGAUGAAGAGGUAUCGGGUUGAGUUUCCUCAGUGUGUUAGGAGGUGUCAUCUCAGAUGUUGAAGAGGGGUUGAGUUUCCUCAGUGUGUUAGGAGGUGUCAUCUCAGAUGUUGAAGAGGUGUUGAGUUUCAUCAAUG
rnacentral:lncRNA from 1 species